rnacentral:rRNA from 1 species
CAUCCUACGGGGGGCAGCAGUGAGGAAUAUUGGUCAAUGGCCGAGAGGCUGAACCAGCCAAGUCGCGUGAGGGAUGACGGCCCUACGGGUUGUAAACCUCUUUUGUCGGAGAACAAAACCCGGGACGUGUCCCGGACUGCGUGUAUCCGAAGAAAAAGCAUCGGCUAACUCCGUGCCAGCAGCCGCGGUAAUACGGAGGAUGCGAGCGUUAUCCGGAUUUAUUGGGCGUAAAGGGCUCGUAGGCGGUUCGUCGCGUCCGGUGUGAAAGUCCAUCGCUUAACGGUGGAUCCGCGCCGGGUACGGGG